UCUGCUGCCACGUGCGCCGAAUGGCGGUUCGAGAAAAAGGAGGAUAGAUCAUUGACUGGCGAUUUGGAGCGCGCCUCAGAUAUCGGCAAAGAACUUGGGAUUUGGGAAAUUCUCUUCGAUUCUCUGCCCACGUUUCUUCUUGUGGACAGAGAGCUUUUGUCUGUUUUAACCCGAGAAUAUCCCCACCACCGAACGCUGAGAAACUACUGUUCGAGCUAAAAUUCGGAUGCCAUGCACGCAGUCGACGCAUUCGUGAGAGCUCUUCUCAAGAGUGAACACAACUAUAUAGAGUUGUCAACUUUCGCUUCUCAACUAAUUUCGCGACUUCGCGCUUCAUCAAAAACGUCAACCAGCUUUCAACAUGGAAGUAGCAAAAGUGAAUGACAAUUCGUCGAGCUUGGUGACACAGUCCAACAGCAACAUCAAAUCUCUUUCACAAUCAGUAAAGACUUCGCAAUCCGUUGAAAAUGUUGAAAAGACAGCCACUAUGCAGACAGCAAAUUCAUUCAAAUCUGUUACUCAAACAUCAAAGAAAUCACAGAAAUCGAUGCACUUCGAAGAAACAAUUGAAUAUGAUACAGAAGAGGAGGAAGAGGAUUUAGAAUAAAAUGAACAACACAAUACUUUGAUCUCACGAUUGCAAAAUAUGAUGUCAAGUUUCACUCAAAGAUGUCAAAGCAUCAUUGUGAAAGCUGCAAUUCUUAUACAUUUUUUUCUUACUUAUGAGACAAAAACAUUAUUUGAAAGUAAAUUAGAAAAGUUAGUUGGUUAUGUAAGUAAAUAUAUCAUGAAUAUACGUCUAGAUUACAUUAAAUCGCACAAAAUUUUGACAUAAAAAAAGUAUUUUUACUGUAUCAAACGUAAAUCAUUCGAAAAAAUUUGGCGAGCAAGUAAUUGUAGUACUAAAAAUAUCAAACUAUUUCCAGAUGCGAAGAAAUCAGUUUCAAGUUCCUCGACUUUGUACGAUUUAUUUUUAGAUUAUGACCUACUACAAAUUCCAAAUAUUUUACUUUCUUCUCAACACAUGUUCAUGCUUCUCAGAUAUCACGUCAUUAGAAUUAUUGUUUUAUUGAUUUAACAAAAGUGAUAAUCAGUUUUAUUCAAAAUUCUGCAAAAUCUUAAAACUAUUGAACAUCAUAUUGUAUUACAUACGUUCAUUUUAAAUAUGAAAAUAACGGCAAAAAAUUAAAAAAUUAUAUUUCUGAGAAGUAAAAUGGUUACUUGAAGUAUAGAUAGAUAGAUAGUUUUUUAAAAUAUUUUCACACAUUUAAUAAUUUUUAGAAAACAGAAGGAUUGUUAUAUGCAAUUAAGUUGUUUUGGCCACACGGCACAUUGGACAUCAUCCAGUAAAUGAUGAGAUGAAAAGGCAUGUAAAUAAUUUCCUUUGUUCAAUCUCUACAUGUAUACUCAAAUAACUCGACUUGUCAACAUAAUUUAUCAAGAAAUAUUGUAGCGUUAAACAACCGAAAAGGUCGCUCGUAAACUUUUUGUGAUUUUAUAUAUUGUCUUGUUCGAUUUGCGGUUAUUUAGAAGAUGAUAUUUCUAUUAUGUCGUUUUCUAGGUAUGUUGCAUUUCAACUUGCAAAGUCUUAGAAUAUUUAAUGUUACAAAACAUUAUUAUUUUUAUAAAGUAUAAAUUUUGACACAUAGAUUACGUUUUAAUCCAAAGCGAAUAUUUGAAGAUAUAAAAUAAUAACGCAUGUAUUAUUUUGUCUUUGAAUGAAUUCUUUUGUAUGUAUUUUUUUAUAAAACUCAAAGACAGAUCAUGAGACUAUAUUAGAAAACUUGAAAACUAUUUAUAAAAAAAUUGUUUAAAUAAAUUAUGAAUUAAGACAAAAUCCAUAAUGUUGAUGUAAUAAGAUCAUUAGUUUGUUAUGUAUAAUAACUAUAGUAAAAAUUAACAAUAAUUUGAACAUUAACAAAUUUUUUUCAUGGUGAAUUCAAGUUAUAAUUGUAAAAUAAUAUAUUAGUCUAUUUUAUUCGGAAGGCAGAAAGCAAAUGAAACCAAUAGGAUGUUUUUCAUUUGAUUAGAUUGAUUAUUAUAUGUAAUAAAAAUAAAAUCGAUAUAUGAUUUAUAAUACUUUAAAAGCCCUAGUAAUAAAUAUCAAAUAACAACAACACGAUAUACAUAUCAGCAAUACUUAAUCAACAUAUACAUAUGACUGAAGACCAUACGUAUAACGAUUGACAACCUUGGCGACAUUAAUAAACUAUUAGUUUGGCGCGGAUCAGAUCGAAAUAUUUUAACAAUUUAUUAACCUAAUACCCUAUAUUAGUACUACAAGUUCCAUGUUGAAAUUCUUUGUUUAAAUUUAUUCAGAACAAGAAUUUUUAGAUAUGGGGGCUGUUUUUCAAUUGCAGACUUUGACAUCGAUUAAAAAACCAUUAUUAAUAAUUAUACAUAUAUAUAUAUAUUUAUUUAUUUAUUUAUUUUAAAAAAACUAUCUUACAAGAUGUAGUUAUUAUCUGAACAAAUAUAAAAUUUAAUUGAAAGUAAUAAGUACAGUACAGUGUAUAAAACAAUAUAAAAGGUAGAACGGAAAAAGCGUGUGAAAGAAAUCACAGGGAGUAUCGACAGAAGCCCUAAGGAUAUAGCAGGAUAUAUCGUCUAUCUCCGAGAAAUAAGAGGGAAUAAUUUCUAAUAGAAAAGGCUUAAUCUUGUCAUGGAGAAACGGAAAAUAGGCGAUUGCUUGAGACACUUCUACGGCAAUCUAAUUAAUAACAUCAUACCAUGAAGCCUCAGAAUCGAGUCCAAUAUCUUUCAAUAUCAUUCGGUAUAGUUUAUUAACAAGAACAACGCUAGCUUUCUUUAAUAUUUUGGAAUUUCCUUAAAAAUUUUAUAAGAAAAAAUUACGAAAAGUUCAUGGCUUUAUCAUUCAAUUAAAUACUGUAACUUUGAUAUAGUAAAUUCUUAAUAUCAAAAUUAAAUUGAUUUAUUUUUAUACACUUUGUCUAUGUACUAUUUUUUUUUCAAAUUGAUUCAUAGCUCAGGAACUUCUGUCAAUUAGUUUUAACGACUUUCUAUUUCUAUUUAUAAUUAUGUGCACUAGAGAGACAUGCACAAAUAAACGAAAAUAACAACUA